CGCGGCGGCGCGGCAGAGCUCAGCCUCGGUCUCGCGAAACCAAGCGAGACUACGGAAGGCCGAAGGAUUGGGCUCAGCAUUGCUUGGGCUAAAGGCUGACUAGGGCUUCCAGGAAGUGAUGUAUGUGAGAAGUUUGCUUUUUAAAAUCUGAAAUUACCAUCAGAUAUUUUGCCACCACAUGGAGGCUUUGAGUGAAGUCUGCAUGGAGGAGAACAGAGCUGAGAGAUGGAAAGAUACUGAAUCCCAGUGACAUCCUUUGAGAUGUUGGAUCAAGCUGAGCUGGGCGUGAAGAUAGAGCUACUCCUAUACUUUUAAGAUACGUUUGAGUAGCCAUCUUCUCCCUGUACACGUCAGAUCCAGGGGAGUUAUACCUUCUCACAAUUGCAAGCUCUGGAAUAAAACAUUAUCCCUAACUGGUUUCCCUUAGCCCUUCC